AACAAAAUAAAUAAAGUGGGCUUGUUCUAUGCACGGCAGUGCUACAGAGCUCCUGCAUUUGCAUAGCGAAGGUGGUUCUGCUGUGCAUUUUUAUUUUCACAUGCAGAUCCUGUGCCUACAUGUCAGAAACCUACCAUCCUCACCAUUCUUCUUCUGUUUGGCCAAUGCCUGUUUACAUUUGAUAGCAUUCAAAUCAUGAACAAAUGACAUGGGAUGCACCUGUGCAGCAGUGCCAAAGGACUACAGGCAACUCGACUGGACAUGUUGAGAGAUGAGCAAAUGAAAUCUCCUGAACCAGAUGAAAGACCCAGUGCCAGCAGGAAUGAUGCAUGUGGACUCAUUACCUACCAGCAAAAGUGGGGUGGGGUGGGGGGACUCCUGCUGCUAACUUAGCAAAAUAUUUUAAUGGACUAAAAUAAUUCAUCCUCUGAGCUGCCAUAACAUCAAGUGAAGCCAUUGCACAUUUGAGGUGUGUGCAGUGUUUACUCCUUAUUUACUGAAUUGCUAUGGGCAGUCACAAUACAUGCUUUCUGACCUCCUGCCAGCACAUUUUAAAGCUUAAAGCAUCACUUCCUGCUGAAAAAUAUUUCAGCUUAUAUUUGCUCAGGCCAGACUUGGAAGAUUUGUUUUCCCAGAUGUGCUCCCUGCCCAGUGUUUCUGUCUCCUGCCCCUCAUUUGCAGUUGAUCGCUAACAGUGUAGCAACCACAGAAGCAUUCGUUCUUACAGCUUUUGUUUUCAGAUGACAAAUUCCUACUCUGUUGCUGCUAUAGUAAAACUCUCACCGUCUAAAUGUCCUUUGGGAGAUGACUAUGGAGCAAACAGUUUCAAUAUUCAUUGUUGGUACACUGCAAUCAGAACUGCCAAUAUAACCCAAUAUCUGUUUGCUUCUAUGUGAAGCAAGCUUUUGGGAGCCCAAGAAAUCAGAUUUCUGCUGUUGAGAUACUAUUUGAAAAUGGUAAACCAUCCAGUGGAAUAUGGUCUAAGUGGUUAGGAGCAUAAUGCAAAUUAAUAGCCUUGGAUAAAAUUAUACUGAAAUAUAUUGGAUUAUUAACAUGCAGAGACUUGCCAUGUAUUCUGUUCUUUUAAAAAGGCUUUAUAUUGCCGAUUGUCCAUCAACUUCAACAGAAAUAGUUUAAUUUGGUACUUGCUUUAUUAAACUAUUUCUGUGGAGGUUGAUGGGAUGGACUUUAAAAAAACUGAACAUACACAGAAAACUGAAAUUUGCUAUAGACCAAAAAUCACAUUUUGAAAAACUUAGAUGAUCUUCCACCUUAAGUGGCGCAGCAGGGAAAUGUCUGACUAACAAGCAGAAGAUUGCCGGUUCAAAUCCCCACUGGUUCUGUAUCGGGCAACAGCGAUAUAGGAAGAUACUGAAAGGCAUCAUCUCAUGCUGUGUGGGAAGAGGCAAUAGUAAACCCCUCCUGUAUUCUACCAAAGAAAACCACAGGGCUCUGUAGGCGCCAGGAGUCGAAAUCGACUUGACGGCACACUUUACCUUUAAUGGACAUGCUUUAUUGACCACAGUAUAUCACUCCCAAAGUGCAAACAUUUCAGAAUUUCAAAUUUUAGCUUAUGCUAACAGUGUUGUCAAACCCUGUUCCUAAACAGAGCAUACAAUAUAGUGCCACACAAAUAGGUCCAGUGGUUGAAUAGAUGUACCCUUAUCCCUUCUCCUCACCCUUUAUAGCCCAGAGAUGGACCUGAAAGGCACACUCACCUCCAGGGUGAGGCCUUUGCCAUGUUCCACUUCUAGGCCAAUACUACAUUGUGAUGCCAUACAGCAGUCAAGAGAUUUUCUCUGUCCACUUUCUCCACACAAUGCAUAUUUUAAUAUGCCUCAAUCAUGUCUCCCCUAAGUCACCUUUCUUAAAAUGCUAAAAAGCCCUAAAUACCCUCCAACAGUAAUAUUUGUUGUUGUUGUUUCCUCAUAAGGAAGGUGUUCCAACCCUAGAUGAUUUUCUGUUACACAAAUGGGGAGAAGCAGUUUUUGUCUAUUGGCCUACAGCUGCCUGUGCCUGAGGGUCCUCCAACUCCCAGAGACAUAUAUUUGGGAAGCAUAGGUGGCUGCUGCAGAAAGGGGGAAUCACCAAACAUUACCUGCCCACCCCCAUGCAAUGGAACAUGUUCUUCCAUCAGUACAAUAUUAGUCUGACAUUGGCCACUAUUCCAAAUACGGUCACACUGCCGAUGUUUAUAAAGGCAUUAUAAUAUUGGAGUUUUGUUUUCAGUCCCUUUCAUAAUGGACUUUGCCUUUUUCAUAGCUGCCUCACCCUGGGUCAGUGUUUUCAUUGAGCUAUUGUUGUCCUGCCUUUCCACUUGUAACCUCAGACUGGGGAGGGGAAAAGGUUGCUUCUUACUUUCUCAUCCUCCCUCAGGGGCGGCUGUCACUCCAUUGACUUCUCUCCAGGGAGACCCAGUUGUUCUCUGCUUGCUUCUUCUUGGUCUCUUUCCCUUUAUUAUUUAAAUAUUCACCCGCUCCCUCCAGAUCCCAUGAGAACUGAACCUUUCGCCAUCUUCUUGGGAGCAUUCCUCUUUUUAUGCCAUGUACUAGUGGCCAGGUUACUGCUCUGAGGAUGCUUCUCAUAUGCCCUUGCUGCUGCUGAUGCAGUGAUGCUGCAUCCAGUUUUGCUGGCCCUCAGCCUGAUGCAGAAGAGCAGGGAAAUGUGGACUCCUCUUCCUCCAACAUGCUCCAAGGCAACCGUGCUGCCUUCCUACCUGUUCCUGGUAGGUUGGAAAAUGGUGUCAGGCCUUGUAAUCUCUGACAGCUAUCUGCCAUGACCCCAUAAUCUCUCUACUGGUUUGUCACCAACAGCUCAGACACCAUCAGUUAUACGUGAAGGAGGUUUUUGUCCCAAUGUGCAUAACUUACACUUAUUUAAACUGAAGCACAUUUUCCAAUUUAUUGACCAGUCACCCAAUUUGAAGAGAUCUCCAUUUUGAUUUUAAUCAACCUGAAUAGUUUUGUGUCAUUUGCCACCUUUUCUGCUUACCCCUAACUCUAGAUUAUUUUAAAACUCAUUUUAAAGCCUUGUUCCAAUAUAGAUCCUUGGGAAAAUCCACUUCUCACUUCCCUCCACUGCAAACAUUGUCAAUUCAUGCCUAUUAUCUGCUUCUUUAACUAGUUACCGAUCCAUAAAAGAACUCGUGUUCUUAUUAUAACCUAAGGCUCUAAGUUUACUGACAAGCCUUUGGUGAGAGACAGUCAAAAGCUUUUUGAAGGUUCAAAUAUAUAGUGUCAACUGGAUUACUCUUGUCCACAGGCCUUGACACUCUCAAAUAAUUCUAAAAGGUUAGUAAGGCAGACUUAGCUUUGCAAAAAUCAUGCUGACUCUCCUUUUGUAAGGUUUUUUCUUCUGUGUAGUUAAUGAUUUUGGCUUAUGUACUGUGUAGUGCCUUGCAGAUCCACAUUCUCAUGAGUGAUUAACCAAAUAUUUAUUAUUUAUUUAUUACAUUUAUAAACCGCCCCAUCCAGAGGCUCUGGGCGGUGUACAAUAACUUUUAAAAAGACAUAAAACUCACAAUUAAAACAAUGCUAAAACAAUAGGAAAAAAAUUCAAAAACGCUUAAAACUAUUUAAAACCAAUUAAAAUACUUUUUAAAAACAACAACACUUUAUAAAGUGUUUACACUUUAUAAAUAUGCAUGUAAAGCUGGGUAGACUGGAUAUGCCUACUUGAUGAGUAAUCAAGACUUUUAAGAACUACAUCCCAAUUAUGAUUUCCUGACAUAGAAGUGUUCAUGAAGUUGCUUGCUCAUGUAUUGGAAGCUGUAACAUGGUAACACUGAUUGCACAUUGCAAGCUGAGGAAUAUGUGGAAAGUUGCAUAUUUAUCUCAGUACCUGCAACUUUUCCUUUUGUUCCCAUUUUAUGUUUUCAGGCAUGAGACUGGCUUGCAGAAGACAUAAAUGUGUGAGGCACUGCCAGUUCUCAGGUUUUAGGCAUAUUCCAUAACUACUUAACUGCUGUGCCAAAUACACUGUAUUAAGUUAUUUACUUUUAAAGUUUCUAAUAUGUACUACUCUGCCGACUAACCCAAAGGGUUCUCCCAGUGUCUUACAAAUAGAAUGCAAAAAUUUAAUACCUAUAAAACAAACUAAAACACCAGUCGUAAAACACUAAAGAAAUACAAAUACUAAUCAAACAGCAGCCAAACUCAAUGACUCAAACUCAGCAGUUAAAAGCCUUCCUGAAUAAAAUAGAUCCCCCCCCCUCCCGAUUAUGAUGAUUUGAUGCUCAGGCUCAGACUCGUGAUCAUCUGCUUUUAAAAACACAAGUGCUGUUCAAACUGUUAAAUAUUGUACUGGGAAUAAUCCUAGUGCUUGAAGUAAAAUAAAUAAAUUGUAUUGUAAUUACUUUCAUGACAUGGUGCUGCAGAGUCAUGGUGGGAAAAUGCAGCAUCAUGAUGUGCAGUUUCAAAGCAUCACAGCUGGGGCCGAAUCUUAUCCACGCUUGUUAGUGUUUUGUAGGCAAUUAAAAUAACAAUGAGCAGUCUAAAUAGAUUGGUUAUUGCCAAUGUACUGUUCACUUUGUUUCUGAGGAUUCUCCAUUCAUGUUUCGUAACAGUCUUGGCAUUACAGUUCACAUCACACUACCCCAUUGGUUAUUGGAGAUGGAAGAUAUUAACGAGGGAUCAACAGCCAUUACUGGCUGUUGAUCAUAAUGAUAGUGCUUGGUAUUUAUAGCCCUUUAGUGUCUGUAAAGCUUGUUCAAAGCACAUCACAUGUAUUAUCUUGUAAUACUUUUUAAAUGUUUUUUCUAUAUUUUGGAGUAAAAUAUAUUGCUGCAUUCAUAAUCAGCAGCUCUAAAAACUAUCCAGAGCUAGCACUGUGCAAUUGCAAAUGGCAUUAUAGUUUAUGGCAACCUUCCAAUUGGUACCUUAGAUACCAGUCUUUAGUGUUUCACAGUCCAAAACAGACUUUGGACUGUUGUUACUACUACUACAUAUCUAUCAUUUUCCAACAAAAUUUUCCAAAGAAGUUUACAUAGAAGAAUAAAUACUAAAUACUUAAAUAAAUCCUCCCCACCAGCUUGUUUGAAGCCAGAAGUUUACAAAAAUGUCUGGAUUUGGAGCCCCUCCUUGGACCUUAAUUUCACCCCUGUGUGGAGGAAUCUGGCACACAUGAAGUCCACAUUGGCAGGACUCUGAUGGGUUUCUUUUUCAAGGCUAUGGGUAGCUCAUCUGAUUUGGGGGGAAUUUUAAAAAAAGGUUAAAAACAGAAAAAAGGGCUAAAACAGGAUUGUUUCAAGCCAGAACAUAAGAAAAGGUUGUGGAACUGAACCCUUCCCUAGGACUAUCAUUCAACCCCCAUGAGGAGGAAAAAGAACACUCCUUGCAGAAGCAUAUAGUAAGAGGGAAAGCACUUUGAAUCUUUCUGUUUAUGUUGUUAGAAAGAAUUUAUCACUUUCCCUUCUAGCCAUUAAGGGAUUAAAAGGUGUGAAGUCCUUUUAAACCCUCUUAAAUGGUAUGUCUGUUCCUGCAGUUGGGAAGAAAAAAAUUAAUAUAAAAUCAAAGGAAUGUCCUUUUUCCUCCACAUGGAGGUAGAAUGAUUGUCCAAGGAGGGGCUUCAGAUCUUUUUAAUAAACUUCUGGCUUGAAACAAGCAGGGGGAGUAUUAAUCUUUUGGCCGCUCACAGGCAGCCAAAGAUUUGCCACCUCAGGGACAAGAGUAAGGGGGCUUGGGCGGGAGGGAAGCUUAACUCUGUCUUUUUUAACCUUGAAAAACACUGCUGUGUAGCAGUGGAGGCUCUGCCCGCCUCCUAUCAUCACAGGAGAUGAGGUCGGG